UCCAGACUCCUACGGGAGGCAGCAGUGGGGGAUAUUGCACAAUGGGGGGAACCCUGAUGCAGCGACGCCGCGUGGGUGAAGGAGCACCUCGGUGCGUAAAGCCCUAUCGGCAGGGAAGAAACAGACGGUACCUGACUAAGAAGCCCCGGCUAACUACGUGCCAGCAGCCGCGGUAAUACGUAGGGGGCAAGCGUUAUCCGGAUUUACUGGGUGUAAAGGGAGCGUAGACGGCAGCGCAAGUCUGAAGUGAAAUGCCGGGGCUUAACCCCGGAACUGCUUUGGAAACUGAGCAGCUAGAGUGUAGGAGAGGUAAGUGGAAUUCCUAGUGUAGCGGUGAAAUGCGUAGAUAUUAGGAGGAACACCAGUGGCGAAGGCGGCUUACUGGACUGUAACUGACGUUGAGGCUCGAAAGCGUGGGGAGCAAACAGGAUUAGAUACCCGAGUA
rnacentral:rRNA from 1 species